rnacentral:rRNA from 1 species
AAUGAACGCUGGCGGCAUGCCUAACACAUGCAAGUCGAACGAAGGCUUCGGCCUUAGUGGCGCACGGGUGCGUAACGCGUGGGAAUCUGCCUUGGGGUUCGGAAUAACCCCCCGAAAGGGGUGCUAAUACCGGAUGAUGUCGAAAGACCAAAGAUUUAUCGCCCUGAGAUGAGCCCGCGUAAGAUUAGCUAGUUGGUGGGGUAAAGGCCUACCAAGGCGACGAUCUUUAGCUGGUCUGAGAGGAUGAUCAGCCACACUGGGACUGAGACACGGCCCAGACUCCUACGGGAGGCAGCAGUGGGGAAUAUUGGACAAUGGGCGAAAGCCUGAGCCAGCAAUGCCGCGUGAGUGAUGAAGGCCUUAGGGUUGUAAAGCUCUUUUACCCAGGAUGAUAAUGACAGUACCGGGAGAAUAAGCCCCGGCUAACUCCGUGCCAGCCGCCGCGGUAAAAC